rfam:Cetobacterium somerae ATCC BAA-474 genomic scaffold Scaffold119, whole genome shotgun sequence.
CUGCAUGAACUAUAUCUGGAGUAAUCAGAUGUACAUGUGUAUCAAUUCCACCAGCAGUUACUAUAAGUCCUUCUCCUGCUAUAGAUUCUGUACUUGCUCCUACAACAAAAUCUAUAUUAUCCAUUAAAUCUGGGUUUCCACCUUUUCCAAUAGCAAUUAUCUUUCCAUCUCUAAUUCCUAUAUCUGCUUUAUAUACUCCAGUGUAAUCUAUUAUUACAACACUAUUUAUUAUUGUAUCUACAACUAAAGGAUUUCCUUCUCUAGUUUCUAUAGGAUUUAAUCCCAUUCCGUCUCUUAG